rnacentral:lncRNA from 1 species
CGGGAUUUAUGACCUAGUAACUGAGGACAGAAAUAAUUGGUCACAUUAGUGCCUGGCAACCCCAGGCCGGCUCCGCUGUGGAGGGGCAGCCUGCAUUGAAAGGGCUGAGGCAAGUUUACUGUUCUCAGCUCAGGUACUCUCCUGUGGCCAACACAGCCCUAAUGAGCUCUGCAUAUUCAAGACACGAGUAAUUGAUGGUCCAAUUUAAGGUGUGCAUGGGCCACAUUUCUUUCCAGGCUCUGGAGGAAAAACACCAGCUGAGGAAGAAUGAAGAGCUGCCUGUUCUAAGUUAUUUUCCUUCUGUGGUCAUUCGAUCCCCAGGAAGACGGCGUCUGCCCCAUCGAGUGCCUGGAGAAAGGAGGCAAUUACCCAGAGAAGUCAAGCAAAAAGGGAAGGACAAAUGAAAAUCCCGCCCCAGGGAGGAGGUCCCGGGCUCCACGCUGGAGUGGAUACAACCCUCAGCACACCCUGCCUCGCACAGAAGCUUGAUGAGCUCCCUGCCACUGAGGAUGUGUGAGCACAAGCUGGGUGAGCACCUGUCGGGAUGUCACAGGAGGAGGAGUAGGUCCUUGCCUCGCUGCGAUGCUGUGGCUCCGAGCGGCAGUCAGCGGCACUCCUCUCUUGGGUUUAGCCUUCGACGUUGGUGCAGAAGCUGGAAGUGUUUCACUUACACAGAAAAGAGACUGAGCAAUCCUGUGACUCAGCAUCGCUACCUUGAUUUUUCAGCUGAUCAAACUAAGGCUCAGAAAGGCGAGUCUGAAUCGCUCAAAGUUCCUUUGGUUGCAAGCAACAGAAACGAACUGAAUCUCACUUCACCUAAAGAGAGAAAGUCGUCGUAAGAUGCAGCGGUCAUUUGGGGAACCCAAGCUCACGUGUGAGCACUGGGCAGCGUCCCAGAAAUGACAAGAACCAGGAGAGGGAGGCAGCAGAGGGCUCGGGGAGUGUUGCUUCUCCUUCUCUCCCCUUGUCUCGACUUGGCUGCUGGGCUGCCUCUGUCUUUUUUCUCUGAAGACUGACUUUCUCAGCUGCUCGGUGCAAAUAGUUGGAGGAAUGGCAGCCUCCCACAGCUUCCAGGUUCACACAUUAUCAUGCCAACCAUAGGAGAGACUGCCCUUCUGCCUCCCUCUCUCUGGAUUGCACAUUAGCACAGCAUGUCCCUUCAGCUCGGAUCUUGGAAUGAAGAAGACACACAGAGCAGAGCUGCAGCCACCCUGCAGUCACCUCCAACAGUGAGAAAUAAACUUUUGAGAACCGACUCGUCUGAGACCCAGUCUUGAGAGCAGGCCAUGCUGUGGCAGGCGUCCCACGUAUAAAGUGGAGCAAGAUGGGCACAGAUGUUAGCUCAGGGCCAGUCUUCCUCAGCAAAAAGAGGAGGAUUGGCAGUAGGUAGCUCAGGGCUGAUCUUCCUCAAAAACAAAAAAACAAAAGAAGGCGGGGAGGAGCAGGGGGCAGUCCCCCGGGGGGAUUCCCAGAUUUCUUUUUUUG